rnacentral:rRNA from 1 species
AUGGAGAAAAAUAAAUGCCAGCCCAGGUCCACCACAAGUCCCGCUGCCCACCCCCCGCCUCCAAUGACCGGAAAAAAAACCAUCAUUUCGAGUGAUCUGCAGCGCCAUCAACAAAGACGAGAGCUCAUGGCGACGGCGGCAAUGGACAUCAGAUCCGGUGGACAGGUAUGGUUGGUAGUUCAUCCUCUGCCAAGUACUAACUCUGAAUCUUUUGCGGGAACCAACUUAGGGAUGCCUGGGUGUUCUCGCAGGUUCCCCUUGCUGGAUCUUGCAUCUAGCGAUUUCGCGCCGGCCGUUGGCCAUGAACAACGGCUGCGAGCGCUGAGCUUGUCGGCGACCGAUUCGCAACAAUCAACGGGAAAAGACGACCCUCCAGCCUCCGGGUGGACAAAAAGAAAAAAGAAGGCCGACGUCAGUUUGUAUUUGUUCAUUCUCAACUCUGAAGCUAGGUUCAUAUUGGGCGAGCCCCUAUCGAGCGUGCACCUUGUGCUGGAAGAGUAUGUGCCCUUGAAAAAAACAUUAAGAGGAUAUGCAGAGAAGAAAACUGAUACCGUAGUGGUACCAUCUGUUGGAUACAACUUCGAUUCAUUGGGAGAGCCAUACGACCUCCACAACCUAUGUUCGUGGGAAAUUGGAUUCGAAAUAAGAUACGAAAAAAGUAGGCUCAACGUCAAGAGAACCAAAUGUAUGCAGGAGAUAGGCAAACCAAAAAGAGGAAAUACACGCACAUCCCGCUGUGAGUGCCCUGCGUACAUAACUGAGCACAGGCCAUCACACAAUCAUGCUUUGACAGAUAAAUGUGGUGAAAAGGUGUACUGA